GGUGAGUUGGCCGAGCGGUCUAUGGCGCUGCGUUCAGGUCGCAGUCAGUGAAAACUGGCGUGGGUUCAAAUCCCACACUCAUCA